AUCACCGCCGGACGGGCGAGGUUGUGAGGGUUGGGGAACCCGGUGACCAGCUUCAUCCGAGAUGGCUCGGGUUUAAGGGAGCCCGGGACCGAUCGCUCUGGCGAAGGAG
rfam:Actinomyces massiliensis F0489 contig00001, whole genome shotgun sequence.